AGAUCGCGGAACAACACAGCACCGGAGAAAGUAGAUCCAUCCAGCGAGCAAAGGCCAGCCGAGGGAGAUCGUGUGGCAGCCAUCUCGCGUCGCCACGAAAACACGACAGUCGUUCGUCAUGCCUUGGAUAUAACAACAAAUCCUCCACGGGGGAAUCUGCGACCACUGAAGUUACGUGCAGCACCAGUGCUAGUUAGAAACUUUGCCGCAGGCAUUCAGCUGCAUGCUGCAAGAGGUCAGUUGGGCGCGUUAUCUUGAACUUACUGAAAACGCAUGAGGAAUCCAUGUUUUAUGAUGAAAAAAGUAUAAACCCCAUAUAAGCGAUCUUGCGCGCGGCAGCUACAAGCGACGCGACGGAGAUGGCUGUCGCGUUCGCUCGUCGCCUACAAGUCGUACUCCGUGCGAGCGACGAUUUUGAGCGACGCCUCCCCAGUGUUGCCGGCAUGAGGGCUGCAGUCACGCGUGACGCGUGCUUUAGUAAUUUACGUUGAUGUAUUUUACUAUAAAAAGUAGCAUAAAAUAUUUCCGGAGGUCUUGCAGUACGUUCUUAUCCUUGCACGUAUAAAAAUUGAAUCAUUUGCUCGUUCCGCGCGACAAUCGGUAGUAUUUGAGCGAUGUAUGUACAUCCAGUUCCGGCUUCGCGCUAUUGGCUAGUCGCUCAUAGCACUUCUGGGCGACGAGCGACGAUUUCUAGAUUUCCAGAACCGAGCCAUCUGUUCAAGCGACGGCCCGUUUUGUCGCUCGUCGCCGUCGCGCACUAAAUCGCUCUCACAGUGUUUAUCCCUAAGACUGAACUGUUUUUGCUCAUGUUGAAAUGGUGUGAUUAUAGGUCUGGUUUUGUCUCCUGUUGCGGUUUUCGUGCACGGUGCGAAACUGAAAGGAUGCUUAUGUCUACGAACUCGGUGAAUUGUCGAGCAGCUAGUUACGCAUCGGCAUCGAAUAUAACGGCUGCUGUGUGGAAUUACAAUUGCAGGGGCGCUUUGCAUACGCUUAUUGUUUUGGACAUGCCUGUGCAUUUGCUAAUAUGAGUUGGCGUGUCAGAGUUAUGUCAUAUGAACAGCUAAAUCAGCCUUCCUCUGGGUGUUACAAGCGUAAUGUGUGCAUUUUGCUAUAGCAUGGCAGAUUAUGAUGUGUUUAUCGCUUGAAUAUUUUUAGUAGAGAAAUAAAAUAUCAAAAUAAAAUGUUGCUUUAAUUCCGUGUUACCAUUCUGUCGUACACAGAACAAUAGGAUGGUGUAAUAAACUAAUAACUGCGGUUUAACUGCAACUUUUACAUGCCUACAAGAAUCUAAAAUGCUAGAUUUCAAACUGCAGCAGUAGUCGGGUCUGUCAAAAAUGAACUCCACUGCGCACCUCAUGCAUGAAAAUAAGUUCAUGCCUUUUAGUAAGCUUAGAUGCAGGCCGCAGUGAACUUGUUAGUAUUGAAAUGUGGGUAAGCUUGCCAUAACAAGCCUUGUUGCCCUUUUUUAUAGGCACAUCCAUAUAUCCAUUGAGCUGAAGGACAAUAUUUUCAUCCCUACUGAGCAUCAUGUUUGCAGCUAUAAUCCUCAAAUUAUGGCUUCAGCAGUGGCACAACCAGGCAUGGUGCGGGGGGGUGGGGGGGCACACUGGGCACGUGCUUAGGAUGUGUCACAAGUGGUGUUUGCGAUACACCAGACUCAUGACAGACCUAUGACGUCUGAAAAUGACCAAUAUUCUAUUCAUUAGCAGGAGUAUUCUAAUAUUCAUGAAAAACAAGGAUGAACUGUGGUUUGUUUUUUUGCUUAAAUCUAAAAAUUGAAGUUAGUUUAGCAGUUGACUGUUGCAGUCAUUUGGAUGUUUUGCAUGCAUUUCACUAGGAAGACUAAGAGCUAAGACUUUUUUAUUGCCAUUGCCUUGACUGUCUUGAUGUUGUUUUGCACCAUGUCCUUGUGUUGACUUUUGCAUACGAUAUUUUUCAGGCACCCGCUUUAUAUAACGCAAGAAGGCAGCUGCAAGGACACGAGGAUGUGAAAGAGCCAGUGCAGCGCGACUUCACGUAGUGUAGAGGAGCCAAUGCCAAAAAAUCAAAAUACAUUGGCAUGUUAUUUGGACAAGAAAACUAGGACAACCCAGGACGUGCAUUUCUCAGCACCCAGUCAACUGCCAAAAGUGACUCAAACACAGGCCACCACACCAUUGGAACUGGUGGCUGCGUUUUCAGAAGGAGAAGUGCACUUGACACUGUAUAUGUGGAACUCGGCUGUACCACUGCAGUGCUGCGGAAAUUGCCUUCACCAGCGGCUUUGCAACAGCUGUUUCGCAGCAUGUCGGAGACAAUGCCUACGAAAUUAUUGGCCCUGAUCAUGAGAGCCCUCAAGGGGCAAACAACAUCUCUGUUGCAGAAGUGAGCCCGGUACCACUUGGAAGUUACCAUGACAGAUGACACGGCAGCAAUAGAUACAGAGACUGCCACGUCUACUGCAGCUGCAACAGUGUACGAGGCAAGCAGCAGCGCGUCAGCAGCAGUGUCAGAAGGAACCACACCAGGCCUGGUAGAGCAACAUGUGUGCUAUCACUGACUUUUUUUGUAGUGGAUACAACUCAUUUGCUCAACAUACAAAAGCUUUUCACCACGACUGUGAGCCAGUGUUAUUGUGCAGCAAGUGCAAGACUAAGUUAGGUGUUAUAACACAGCACAAGCAUCACUUUAAUAUAUGCAAAUGCAAACAUAUUACAGUUGUUGCCUCCCCAGCCAGCCCACAUAGCCACAACAAUGUUGAACACAUGGUGGGACACACAUCUUCUCCAUUAGAAGAUAGUAGAGACUGUCAGUGUUGUUGUUAGAUUAACUGGUCUUUGUAGGCAACUAGGACAACACAGGUGUCAUAAGAUUGUUGUUGAUGUUGUUGUUGAAGAGGUAAAAAAGAAGUUUGAUGCAGCUGAAGUGCCAACUGAUAUUGAGCAAAUCAAAAGCAACCACCUGAGAAAGCAACACUAUCAAAAUUUGGGUAUCUAUGUGCCGCCAACUCUGGUAAGAAUGGCAUAGGACAGAAGUGUGAUGAAAAUCACACAGACACUGCUGUUGCAUCACUGGCCACAGUGAGCAGCGACUUGUAGGGCAAGAGAGUCAACUGAAACUAACAUUAUGAUAUAGUGUCAUGCUCCCAUGUGACCACUUUUCAAGUUAUUUUGCAAGAUACAGCUCAACCUCCAGAAACGAGACUGCAAGUUGUCUGUAAAAAAGCUUUCACAAAAAAUUAUUCAUAACACCAUUAACAUAGCAGUAUCUUUUUUUUUGUGUCGGUUCGAGGUUCCCGGCUGUCCAUUAAUGCAAAAAUUGAGGAAAAAAAGAACAUGUGUCGUACUUACACCUUUUUAACAAGUACGAGGGGGACAGAACUUUUCUAGUCAUGCAUCUUCAUCAUACUAUCAAGUUUUUAAAUGCCUUUUAUAAUUAUUGUUACCAGUUAUAUCUGAGUGCAUUGUAUGCAUGUAGCAGGUGUAAAAUCAGGUCAGUUGGAUCAGAUGCCUUAUCUGCAAGCGAGCCCUAUAUUCAAGAAAUUUGAAAUAAAAUAGUUACGUUAGAGACGCAGUCUUUCAGCACUUUAUUGCCUGUGGUUUAAGCAUUGCUCAAUACUUUUGUGGGUGGCAAUUUCAACCAGCACAGCACUGCGCUUUGCCACAGUCACAUUUGUCUUCAAAGGGGUGUUUACCAUUUGUGUUGAUCUGUUUGUGUAUGCAUAGAGCAAGUUUUUAAUUUAUAUUUUUCUGCAUUCUUGUGCUUGCACUAAGCUUGUAUAAGGCAGUUACAAAAUGUGCGGCACUAUAACGAACUGUUCUGUUGAGCUUACACUUGCAAAUAAUCGUGUUCAGAUGGCCGCACUUCUAUGCGGGUGCACCGCUAGCUUUGUGUAUGUUCUCAUGUUUGUAUAAAGCUUAUAUAAGCUAGUUAGAAAAUGUAUGUCACUAAGCAUUGUGAUAUUCUUUAAAGAACUGCUUGGUUGGUUUUACACUUGUGAAUUAGUAUUGAGGCGGUGGUAUUCCCAUGUAUGCCCACUGCUAGCUUUCUGUGUCCUCACGUGUUUGUAUUAAGUUUCUACAAGGGAGUUACAGCAUGUACGUCACUAAGCGCUGUGAUAUUUUUUAAAGAACUGCUUUGUUGGUUUUACACCUGUGAGUAAUAGUACUCGUGUGGCACUAGUCAUGUGUAGGUACACAGGGACCAUUUGUAUACAUUAUGCUCAUGUAAAGCAGUUACAAAGUGUAUGUCACUAAUUACUGUGAUAUUUGUUGAAUUGCUGUGAUGGUUUUACACAUGUGAAUAAUAGUGGUCAGGACACAGUACUUGCGGUGUAUAGUUGAAUUUAUACACUGCCAAGACAUGGGCUGUAUACGUACUAAAAGAAAGGUAUGUCAUUAUAUUGUUGUGAUCAUUACUGUUUGGAUUUUAUUAAACUGUAAUAAAAUUG